rnacentral:rRNA from 1 species
GACGGACGCUGGCGGCGUGCUUAACACAUGCAAGUCGAACGGAAAGGCCCUUCGGGGUACUCGAGUGGCGAACGGGUGAGUAACACGUGGGUGAUCUGCCCUGCACUUUGGGAUAAGCCUGGGAAACUGGGUCUAAUACCGAAUAGGACCACGCGCUUCAUGGUGUGUGGGGGAAAGCUUUUGCGGUGUGGGAUGGGCCCGCGGCCUAUCAGCUUGUUGGUGGGGUAAUGGCCUACCAAGGCGACGACGGGUAGCCGGCCUGAGAGGGUGACCGGCCACACUGGGACUGAGAUACGGCCCAGACUCCUACGGGAGGCAGCAGUGGGGAAUAUUGCACAAUGGGCGCAAGCCUGAUGCGGCGACGCCGCGUGAGGGAUGACGGCCUUCGGGUUGUAAACCUCUUUCAAUAGGGACGAAGCGCAAGUGACGGUACCUAUAGAAGAAGCACCGGCCAACUACGUG